GACGAACGCUGGCGGCGUGCUUAACACAUGCAAGUCGAACGGAAAGGCCGGGCUCUUGCGCGCUCCUCGAGUGGCGAGCGCGGGUGUGACACGCGUGUAACCUGCCCCUCGCAUUCUGGUAUCUUCAGGGGACACGGGCUCUUACCCCGUAGGCGCUGCUGCUGCGCGUUGUCGCUGCGUGAAUUUCGGCGGUUGGGGAUGUACUCGCGGCUUAUCAGCUUGUUGGUGGGGUAGUGGCUUACCAAGGCUCUGACGGGUAGCCGGCCUGAGAGGGUGACCGGCCACACUGGGACUGAGACACGGCCCAGACUCCUACGGGAGGCAGCAGUGGGGAAUAUUGCACAAUGGGCGGAAGCCUGAUGCAGCAACGCCGCGUGCGGGAUGACGGCCUUCGGGUUGUAAACCGCUUUUGCCUGUGACGAAGCGAGAGUGACGGUACCGGGUAAAGAAGCACCGGCUAACUACGUG
rnacentral:rRNA from 1 species